rnacentral:tRNA from 1 species
GGGUCGUUAGCUCAAUUGGUAGAGCAGCUGACUCUUAAUCAGUAGGUUCUGGGUUCAAGUCCCCGACGGCCCACCA